UACGAACGGUCCAAACGUUAUUCGGAAUCACUGGGCUUAAAGCGUCCGUAGGCGGCUCGGAAAGUAGGGUGUGAAAUCCCACGGCUCAACCGUGGAAUUGCGCUCUAAACUAUCGAGCUAGAGGGAGAUAGAGGUGAGCGGAACUGAUGGUGGAGCGGUGAAAUGCGUUGAUAUCAAUCAGGAACACCGGAGGCGAAGGCGGCUCACUGGGUCUUUUCUGACGCUGAGGGACGGAAAAGCUAGGGGAGCGAACGGG
rnacentral:rRNA from 1 species